AUAAUAGUGAUGCAGUAGCAAUAAUAGAAAUAGUAAGUUUAAUAGGAAUAAUGGUGUCACGACGUUUUGUUAGGAAGUUGGAGAAUUGCCAUGGAAAUUGGUGUGUUAGUGUCUGAGCUGCUGCUAACCAGGUUUUUUGUCCCAAGAAAGUGCUGCCUUGGCUCUGCAUGAGCCCUUUUCCUGUCACAUCUUGCUCUUCCUCAGUGUGUUGGCAACAACAAGCCUUGGCUGGCUUCACAGCCAUCAGGCUCCCCAUGGCCAGCACCAGCACUGCUCCAGUUCUGCCUCCAGAGCACAACCCUGGCUGGCAGCUUCCUCACUCCCCUCACUCCAUGCCCUCUGUUAUGUACCAGAAAGUGAGCAGCAGCCUCAAAAUCUUCUCCUCCAUCCUCCUGCAACGUAGAAUUUGGGCACCCAAUCAUCAUCAGAAAAUCCAGUGUCAGGCUUUGGUGUUUGGCACUGGUACAGGACAGACCUGACAAGGGGAAUGCUGAACUGGCUCUCACCUGGCUUUUACUUUCUCAGGAAGGGUGGGAGGACAUUCAGAGAGAAGGCAGAGGCACGUUGGAAAGCAGGUUUAAAUAAAG